GUUGAGCUGAACAUCCUUUCAAGAAAGCUGCAAUUAUAAAUUUCCAUGAACUAAGUGUUCAAAGAGAAAUCACAAAUCAUAGCCAUCCAGCAGCACAGACCUCGUGAACUGCUCACAGACUGUCACUCCACGGUUGAAGCUUUGACACUGCCUACAUCUUCCCAUCUGCCUUCUUUUGCAUCCUGUUAUUCAACAUGAAACUCGGGAGGCACAGCAGUAUCAAUAAUCUGAUAAACUGAUCCAACAAGGUGGAGGGCGUACCGGAGGAGGUGGAUCUGGAAAGACUUUGAUAUCGCCAUUAAUGAAGAAGUCUUCUUGGUCUAAAUAAAGUUCAUUCUGAAUUUUGGUUGAUGUUUCAAUGUGAUAGCGAGC